GCCUGGGUGGCUCAGUCGGUUGAGCAUCUGACUUCGGCUCAGGUCAUGAUCUCGCGGUUCGUGGGUUCUAGCCCCACGUUGGGCU
rnacentral:tRNA from 1 species